UUUCCGUAGGUGAACCUGCGGAAGGAUCAUUGACACUUUUAUUUAUCCACAAUCCAACAACCCCGUUGAACUGUCUGGCACGCUGAGGUACGGAGCGAAAGGCUAUGUGGUGAGGAAAACCGUUAUGUCCGUGAGGGCAUAGUUCGGCUUCUCGUCUUCGUUUCCGCUCGGGGAAAGGCGCUUCAGCGUUCUUUUUUUCCGAAGCUUCAGCGCGUCGCAUCACCAUGUGACUUUAACCACUAUGAAUUUAUGACUAAACAAAAAUGUUCAAAUUCUCUUUGUUUUGUUUACAAAACAAAGGUGUGUUUGACUUUACUUACGAAACUCAGAACAACUCUUAGCAACGGAUAUCUUGGUUUCC
rnacentral:misc_RNA from 1 species